rnacentral:rRNA from 1 species
AUUGAACGCUGGCGGCAGGCCUGACACAUGCAAGUCGAGCGAGCGGCGGACGGGAGUGUAAUGUCUGGGACACUGCCUGAUGGAGGGGGAUAACUACUGGAAACGGUAGCUAAUACCGCAUACCAUCGGAUGUGCCCAGAUGGGAUUAGCUAGUAGGUGGGGUAAAGGCUCACCUAGUCGACGAGCCCUAGCGGGUCUGAGAGGAUGACCAGCCACACUGGAACUGAGACACGGUCCAGACUCCUACGGGAGGCAGCAGUAGGGAAUAUUGCACAAUGGGCGCAAGCCUGAUGCAGCCAUGCCGCGUGUAUGAAGAAGGCCUUCGGGUUGUAAAGUACUUUCAGCGGGGAGGCGUUACCCACAGAGGAAGCAACGGCUAACUCCGUGCCAGCAGCCGCGGUAAUUC